GAUGAACGCUGGCGGCGUGCCUAAUACAUGCAAGUCGAGCGAACGGACGAGAAGCUUGCUUUUCUGAUGUUAGCGGCGGACGGGUGAGUAACACGUGGAUAACCUACCUAUAAGACUGGGAUAACUUCGUGAAACCGGAGCUAAUACCGGAUAAUAUUUUGAACCGCAUGGUUCAAAAGUGAAAGACGGUCUUGCUGUCACUUAUAGAUGGAUCCGCGCUGCAUUAGCUAGUUGGUAAGGUAACGGCUUACCAAGGCAACGAUGCAUAGCCGACCUGAGAGGGUGAUCGGCCACACUGGAACUGAGACACGGUCCAGACUCCUACGGGAGGCAGCAGUAGGGAAUCUUACGCAAUGGGCGAAAGCCUGACGGAGCAACGCCGCGUGAGUGAUGAAGGUCUUCGGAUCGUAAAACUCUGUUAUUAGGGAAGAACAUAUGUGUAAGUAACUGUGCACAUCUUGACGGUACCUAAUCAGAAAGCCACGGCUAACUACGUG
rnacentral:rRNA from 1 species